UCCGGGGUCGUCUAACGGCAAGACAGCGGCCUUUGGAGCCGAGAAUCGGGGUUCGAUUCCCUGCCCCGGAG
rnacentral:tRNA from 2 species